rnacentral:rRNA from 1 species
AGAGUUUGAUCCUGGCUCAGAUUGAACGCUAGCGGGAUGCUUUACACAUGCAAGUCGAACGGCAGCACGAGAGAGCUUGCUCUCUUGGUGGCGAGUGGCGGACGGGUGAGUAAUAUAUCGGAACGUGCCCAGUAGCGGGGGAUAACUACUCGAAAGAGUGGCUAAUACCGCAUACGCCCUACGGGGGAAAGGGGGGGAUCGCAAGACCUCUCACUAUUGGAGCGGCCGAUAUCGGAUUAGCUAGUUGGUGGGGUAAAGGCUCACCAAGGCAACGAUCCGUAGCUGGUUUGAGAGGACGACCAGCCACACUGGGACUGAGACACGGCCCAGACUCCUACGGGAGGCAGCAGUGGGGAAUUUUGGACAAUGGGGGAAACCCUGAUCCAGCCAUCCCGCGUGUAUGAUGAAGGCCUUCGGGUUGUAAAGUACUUUUGGCAGAGAAGAAAAGGCAUCCCCUAAUACGGGAUGCUGCUGACGGUAUCUGCAGAAUAAGCACCGGCUAACUACGUGCCAGCAGCCGCGGUAAUACGUAGGGUGCAAGCGUUAAUCGGAAUUACUGGGCGUAAAGCGUGUGUAGGCGGUUCGGAAAGAAAGAUGUGAAAUCCCAGGGCUCAACCUUGGAACUGCAUUUUUAACUGCCGAGCUAGAGUAUGUCAGAGGGGGGUAGAAUUCCACGUGUAGCAGUGAAAUGCGUAGAUAUGUGGAGGAAUACCGAUGGCGAAGGCAGCCCCCUGGGAUAAUACUGACGCUCAGACACGAAAGCGCGGGGAGCAAACAGGAUUAGAUACCCUGGUAGUCCACGCCCCUAACGAUGUCAACUAGCUGUUGGGGCCGUUAGGCCUUAAUAACGCAGCUAACGCGUGAAGUUGACCGCUGGGGGAGUACGGGCCCAAGAUUAAAACUUCAAAGGAACUGACGGGGACCCGCACAAGCGGUGGAUGAUGUGGAUUAAUUCGAUGCAACGCGAAAAACCUUACCUACCCUUGACAUGUCUGGAAUGCCGAAGAGAUUUGGCAGUGCUCGCAAGAGAACCGGAACACAGGUGCUGCAUGGCUGUCGUCAGCUCGUGUCGUGAGAUGUUGGGUUAAGUCCCGCAACGAGCGCAACCCUUGUCAUUAGUUGCUACGCAAGAGCACUCUAAUGAGACUGCCGGUGACAAACCGGAGGAAGGUGGGGAUGACGUCAAGUCCUCAUGGCCCUUAUGGGUAGGGCUUCACACGUCAUACAAUGGUCGGGACAGAGGGUCGCCAACCCGCGAGGGGGAGCCAAUCUCAGAAACCCGAUCGUAGUCCGGAUCGCAGUCUGCAACUCGACUGCGUGAAGUCGGAAUCGCUAGUAAUCGCGGAUCAGAAUGUCGCGGUGAAUACGUUCCCGGGUCUUGCACUCACCGCCCGUCA